GUUUUUUCUGUGCUGUUUGCCUGGAAUACAGCAGUCAUUGUCUAAAAGUAUCCUGUUUUGCUAAUCUGCCCUUUUCCUGGUCCUUUAGCUAGAGAGAGCAGGCUUUUGUUGGGGCUUUUUUUUUUGUUUUUUUUUUUUCCUGUGCCUGGGUUUCUGCCUUCUUCAGCUCCAAGACAGGGAUAUAUGAGAGAAGAAGAUAACCCAGCGAACUCACCGCUGUUUUUUCCUUAGCCCGUCAUGUCCCCAGCUGGUCUGCCUUCUUCUCCAUCUUUCAGAGUCUUCUUAUAUUUGUUUUGUAGAUAAUGUGCAUGGUCUUUAGUUGUACUUAGAGGGUGGAAAAGUGGAUGACUUAGGGAAAAGUGGAUGACUCUAUCUUCCUGGAAGCAGAAGUCCUAAUGAGAAGAAAAGUAACCAGAGAGGUACAUGUAAAGGAACCAAGAUUUUUCUAGCCUGGAGCCUUGCUGUGGCCUUGAAGAGGGCGGACACCACCUAGCCUUGGAGCACUACCUGAAUCCUUGCUUCCCCUGAUUAAAAAAAGAAGAAAGAAAGAAAGAAAGAAAGAAGAAAGAAAGAAAGAAAGAAAGAAAGAAAGAAAGAAAGAAAGAAAGAAAGAAAGAAAGAAAAAGCAGGUCCUAUAUUUGUAACUAACCUGGCAGAAGGAGUCACAGUACUGUGAGAAGGGGAGGGUGAUACUGCCUUUGCACCACCAAGAAACCUGAAGAUCUGUUUCAUAAAGCAGUUAUAACCUGUGACAAAUUCUUAAUAUUAGCCUCACUUCCCCAUUCUUUUGAAACGCACUUGAAAAGGGGGUUAGGGAGUAGUGGAGGGAUCCCGGGAUUUGGGUUAGAGUUCUCUCUUCUACUCCUACAGGGACAAGACACAGAUCCCUUCUGAGCUCCGAGUUUUACCUUUACAAGGAGAAGGCUGGCUGAGAUGCCUCUGGGGCUGCCUCCAGCUUCAGGGACCUGUUGUCCUGCUGUGGUUAGAAGAACCCAGCAGCCCACACCAUUGCUGUGUGGCUCCACAAAGCCACACGGCCUCCUCCAUGCCCUGGUCCACAGGGCCUCACCCACAGAGCCCAUACCUGCUCUCACCUCUAACCCCAGGGCACAUCAAACCUACCUGUUGACAAAAUUACAACCCAUUUAGCUGUAGGUCUCAUUGGCUUUUAUGCAUGAUUCAUGAACCAGGGCAGCCUCCCUUCUAUUAAACAGAAUGAGAGAUCUCACUGGGCAAGAGCAGAACAGUGGGUUUGGUAAGGUGGGAACAGGGAAACAAGAAAAAAGCUGACUGGUUAGCAUGAGGAUACUUGUUUUGGAAGGUUUGGAGAACGUAACUUCCUUAUUAUGCUGACUCAGUAGACUGGAAUCUCCUGUUUUCAGGAAAAACUGGUCUGUUUUGGGCCCUAUUUGCUUCCUUCAAGUUUCAGUUUGAUGAUGUGACAUUUGGCAUGAGUGAUUCCAUUUUGAUUUGGCCUGGUCUGUUGGGGCCUAGGGCAGGAGUUCAGUCUGAAGCGGUGGACUCUCAUCAUCUUUGUUUAAUGCCAGGUUUCUCUAACCCAUUUUCAGAGGUGGAAUCACAGCCUUUGAAGGGACCAGAGGGGUACUGGGUGAUCUUGGAGCACAGGAAGCAUAUUCCUGGUGUCUCAGGGCCCGGUGACUUUCAUGGAGCCCUCCGGGCCCCAGUGGGCUGCGCACUGAUGGAUGAAGUGUUUCUGACAGGGCCCACGUCCAGUCAGUGCAUUCGCAGCUCCCACCGCCGCAGGGCCUGGGUCCCGGCCUCUGGCCAGUGUGCCUGUGCGUGACACAUUGCAGCCGCGUUUUCCAAGUGAGUUCAGUGGUACUGACAGGAUCCACAUUUCCAGUCCGCAGCCAGCCACACACACAAUAUUAUCUGUGAAUGGAAACCGUCACUGUAGAUUUCUGCUUGGGUUUUGGCAGCUGCCCCUGAUGGGAGAGUGCAUGUCACAGACCUAACUGAAGUCAGAGUCCCCUCUGCACAGACAGCAGGGCUUGGACAGACCAUGAGUAAUGAGCCACGUUCUCAAAGCUCCCGGGAGUCUGCACUUCCUGCAGAGAGACAUUCUGGUGAGGAAUCAGCAACGCUUUCCAUGGGGGCAGUUUUACCAAGCCUGUCAUGGAGACAGGGCUGUGUAGGCUGGACUAGAAGGGUGCUGGGAUUGUGGAAGUGUCUGGAUGGUUCUGGAAAAAUCUAGUAGCCAUAUAAAAGGAAAAAAAAAAAAAGGUAGGGUGUGGGAGUGGCAAUGUGGAAUUUCUUGGAAAUAAAGAGAAAGAAAAUAACAAGCCUGUUCUCUUGGCCUUGACCUCUCGCUGUACCCCAGGCUACCGACUAGACUGCUCCACCGGCUCUCUGAUGUCACCUCAGACUCAACUUAUCCAAAACUGAGGUCAUCCUCCCCCAGACUGGCUCCUUGUCCUAAUUCUGUCAGCAAAACCACAUUUCCAGACACCCAGAGCCUGCCUUUGGGGAAGCCUUUGGUUUUUUUUUCCUUCCUAUUGAAUCUGUCCCCAGCCCUGUUGGUGAUUAUUGGUCUCCGGGUGUCUCUUUCUCUGACCUUUCCGAGUCAUGAUUUCAAAGUCAUUGCUCACAAAAGUGAACAGAAUUAAAGUAACCAUAAAAGAAAAGGAAUUUCAAAAAGGAGAACUAAACCCAAAAUUGGAAUAAACUGGAGGAUGCCCCAUUGCUUCAUCCUGCAGACACCAGCCCAGCCCAGGACAGCACCUACACGUCAGCGCCGGUGCCUCCUGAGCCACGGCUGAGCCAAAGCCCACAGUCCACAUCGUCUCUCAGGCUUGGAGCCCGCCUGCAGCCUGCCACGUCGAGUCCCAUGUUUUGUGGCCACCUUCUGUGCACAAGCCCCUGACCCAACCUUUCCUGCCGUUCACCAUGCCUCAUUAUUAUGCUCUCCUCCAUCCUCCCACCUGCCUCCUGAAAUGCCCUUCCUUUGAGCUGAACUCUGUGAGUCUCUCAAAGCCCAGCUCAGCUGUGCAACUUCCGACUCGUGUGGCUCUUCCUGACUUGCUCCUGCUCUGAGAGUCUGUCGCACCCACAGCAAGGACAUGGCCAUGGUUACAAGCUCAGGCCCCAGAACCAGAAGUCACCUGUAUGCAGUAGCUGUGCGGUUUGGGCCAAGUCACUUAACACUUCAGAGCCUUCAUUGUCUUAUCUGUAAAAUGGGACUAAUCAUAGUCCCCCAGACUUGUAAGGCUGUAGAGAGAAUUGAAUAGGAUAUUGCUCACAAUGUGCUUAGUAUAGUGCCUGGCAAUGAAUUAAGAAUCAUUCAACAAAUUCUUGUUGUUGCUCUACUACUUUUUCUUAUUCUCCCAUUUGAGCUUUUUCCUAUUUGUCUGCUUUAAUUUGUCUGCUUAAUUACAUUAAGGCC
rnacentral:lncRNA from 1 species